rnacentral:rRNA from 1 species
UACGGGGGAUGCAAGCGUUAUCCGGAUUUAUUGGGUUUAAAGGGUGCGUAGGCUGUGAGGUAAGUCAGCGGUGAAAUGCCCCCGCUCAACGGGGUGAAGUGCCAUUGAUACUGCCUUGCUGGAAUGCGGACGCCGUGGGAGGAAUGUGUGGUGUAGCGGUGAAAUGCAUAGAUAUCACACAGAACACCGAUUGCGAAGGCAUCUCACGAAUCCGCGAUUGACACUGAUGCACGAAAGCGUGGGUAUCAAACAGG